rnacentral:sRNA from 1 species
UGCGCCAUAUCAACCAUAGUUUGUUGCAUGGUCUUGAGGGUUUCGGCUAUCGAAGUGUUGGUAGCAUCCUCUCCAGACAUUGCGGAUCACUUCGGGUAUGUAAUGCACAGAAAAAAUCUGAUGACUCAAGAAUCCUCCGUCCCCACAGACGGCGCCAAAAUGUGGAUGUCGGAUUCGCACACUCAAGUAUUUAUUUGUUUUGUGGGAGAGAUUAUUCUUGAGGACAAAUAUACUUGAAAAUAGAUAGAUGAUUAUAGAGAAAACUAUGAGUAUUGUCAAAGAAGGUGUAUAGCUCGUUUGCACCAAGAAAUGCGUGUGUGUUUACAUGGUCUUUGACCCACAAUUUAUACCCAAAGAAUACAUUUAAUAC